UUUAAAAACACAGGAGGAGAGAAGAAGAAGAGAGAGAGAGGAGAGAGAAAACCAAAACAACGUUUCAGAAAACACCACCAAAGAGAAGAAGAAGAGUUGUUUUGGAUUCAUUUCAAAAGCUCCUCCGUCUCUGCGUCUCUUCGUUUCAAAACCCUGGCCCCUCUUCCUUCUCUACCUUCCGCUGCCGCAAUUUCCAUGGCAUCAGCGUUGGUCUUGCAGCAAUAGUUCUAUAUUUCCGGUUUUGCCCCUAUACUCGCGCCGGGGAAUGGCGGAUAAGCCAACGCCUCCGCCGCCGUUUCGUCUGAACUUUUUGUGCUCGGCUAGGGUUUCGAUUUCAGUUCCAGUGAGCUCCGUGAGGAGCCCGACAUAAGAUACGGCUGGGGAGCGCCGCCGCCGUCUGAUCAAAAUCGGUGUUUUCGUUCGCUCGUGUAUAUAAUUGGAGGAGAUAGAGAAAGCGACGGCCGUCGGUUCGGAUCAUUUCUGUUGCUUGUUGUUGUUGAAAUGGCGAAGGGAGGUUACUUCUUGGAGAAGGUUCGGAGAUGCGUACGGACGGUGUUCUUCAUGGUGGCGAUGGUGGUGUCGCUGCUUGUGUCGUCGCUGCCGGUGCUGGUGGCGAUAGGGGACAUGCUGGUGCCGUGCGUGUUGAUAUCCAGCUUCACGUGCGUCACGUGCUACGGAUUCAAAGAGCAUUUGCAUCGAUAUGCCUUCAAGAGCUCGCUCACCGAUAUUCCUCUGGUCUCCUUUAUCAGAUCUCUCAUCAUUAUCUGCGUGUAUUCCAUGUGCGAUGGCCCUGCUCUCUCACACGGUCCAUACCUUGGAACUGUGACUUUCUGUUCCUUUGUCUCAAUUCUUCUUCUUUCAAUCAAAGCAUGUCUUUUCACUGUAAAUUCUCAAAUAGAGGCUGAAGCUUCAUCUUCCCUCUCAAGGCAGAAGCUCCACUUGAAGAAGUCAUGGGGAAUGCCUGUCUUGUUUCUCUCAUCAGUAGUGUUUGCCCUUGGUCAUACUGUGGUUGCUUAUAGAACAAGUUGCAGAGCAAGGAGGAAGCUCAUGUUUCACCGAGUUGAUCCGGAAGCUGUCCUUUCUUGCAAAAAUGUAUUCUCUGGCUAUCAGAAGGUCCCAAGAUCUCCCACACCGUCAGGAGGAAGAACCCCAAAAAGUGACAGUGAAAUGAGGCGUAAGCCUUUUUCUACAGCUCGAGAUGGUGAACUCCCAGUCAGAGUAAUUGCAGAUAUUGACAGCUUAUUCAUGACGUGCAGGGGGCUUACUCUUCAUUACAAGCUUAGCUUGCCUGGUUCACCACCUCGUUCCUUGUCAUCUACUGCGUUUCUUGAACCCAGCUCCCCAAAAAUGGCUAUAGGGAGGCCAAAACUUGAUAGACAUCCAUUAAGUUUGUUAUCAAAAGGCCAAAACCAUCUCCACAGGAGCUACAGCAAUCAAUUUCAUGGCUCAUCUCUAUAUGUACCUUUAUUGGAUGGUUCUAUGGUUUCUCCUGUUCUUUCUGAAGAGAUUCCUGCCUUGAGACUAUCCAAUGCUGGCGAAGAGGAUGAGGGUAGUACAUUAAAUUUUGGUACUCUAAACAAAGAAUGGAAGGAAGUGGUCAGUUUGGUAUUGUAUUAGUGCAUGGCUUUGGGGGAGGAGUCUUUUCAUGGAGGCAUGUGAUGGGGACCCUUUCUCGGCAAGUUGGUUGCACAGUUGCUGCUUUUGAUCGCCCUGGUUGGGGCCUAACCUCAAGGCUGCGACCGGAAGAUUGGGAGGAUAAAGAAAUGCCUAAUCCUUAUAAACUUGAAUCUCAGAUUGACCUGCUUCUUUCUUUCUGCUCUGAGAUGGGAUUUUCCUCAGUGGUGCUUGUUGGUCAUGAUGAUGGAGGCCUUCUGGCUUUGAUGGCUGCACAAAAAGUACAAGCAUCAGUGAAUUCUUUCAACGUUACAAUCAAAGGUGUAGUAUUGUUAAAUGUUAGCUUGUCAAGAGAAGUGGUGCCUGCUUUUGCGAGGAUACUCUUGAGAACUUCACUUGGGAAAAAGCACCUGGUUCGUCCAUUACUGCGAACAGAAAUUACACAAGUAGUAAAUAGGCGUGCCUGGUAUGAUGCGACAAAGUUGACAACGGACGUUUUGAGCCUUUAUAAGGCCCCUCUAUGUCUAGAAGGAUGGGAUGAAGCACUCCAUGAGAUAGGUAGAUUGUCAUACGAGACACUUCUUUCACCAAAAAAUGCAGAAUCAUUACUGAAGGCAGUUGAAGACAUGCCAGUGUUAGUCAUCGCUGGCGCUGAGGAUGCCCUUGUCUCUCUUAAAUCUUCCCAAGCUAUGGCUUCCAAACUUGUAAAUUCUAGACUAGUAGCGAUAUCCGGAUGUGGCCAUCUUCCCCACGAAGAGUGUCCCAAGGCAUUACUUGCAGCAAUGACACCCUUCUUAAGCAGACUCUUGGGCAAACAAGACAUGCAAAGCCAAUAGUGUACCUUCUUUUUAACUUCUAAUUAGGGUUUUUAUCUGUCGUAGGGUUACCUUUGUUUCUUUUUUGUCGUCGUCGUUUUUCGUGUUAAGAAAUUUAGCGGCCGAGGGGAAGAGACUAACGUCAUCUCUUCUUCUUGGUUUUAUUGAUGUCUUAGUUUGGAGCCUUACCCAUACCUACAUUCUUUAGGGUUUUAGAGCUCGUUCACUUGUAAUUUUCCUCUCCUUUUUUACCCCUUUCAGAAGUAUUUUUAUUUAUCUUUUGUUGUUUGAAUAGUACUUGUUAUUUUCCACCGAAGGGCGGUGGAAGAUACAUAUUUGUACAUUUAUCAGUGCUUGAAUUUAAGUAUGGUUUUGCUCCACAA